AGUGAACGCUGGCGGUAGGCCUAACACAUGCCAGUCGAACGGCAGCACAGUAAGAGCUUGCUCUUACGGGUGGCGAGUGGCGGACGGGUGAGGAAUACAUCGGAAUCUACUUUUUCGUGGGGGAUAACGUAGGGAAACUUACGCUAAUACCGCAUACGACCUACGGGUGAAAGCAGGGGAUCUUCGGACCUUGCGCGAUUGAAUGAGCCGAUGUCGGAUUAGCUAGUUGGCGGGGUAAAGGCCCACCAAGGCGACGAUCCGUAGCUGGUCUGAGAGGAUGAUCAGCCACACUGAAACUGAGACACGGUCCAGACUCCUACGGGAGGCAGCAGUGGGGAAUAUUGGACAAUGGGCGCAAGCCUGAUCCAGCCAUACCGCGUGGGUGAAGAAGGCCUUCGGGUUGUAAAGCCCUUUUGUUGGGAAAGAAAAGCAGCAGGUUAAUACCCCGCUGUUCUGACGGUACCCAAAGAAUAAGCACCGGCUAACUUCGUG
rnacentral:rRNA from 1 species